rnacentral:tRNA from 1 species
GAGGGUAUAGCUCAGUGGUAGAGCACAUGCUUAGCCUGCAUGAGGUCCUGGGUUCAAUCCAGCACCUCUA